GCCAGGCAUAUGCCUGUAGUUCUAGUUACUGGUGAGACUGAGGCAGAACAAUCACUUGAGCCCAGGAGUUCUAGACUGUAGUGCACUAUGCUGACUAGGUGUCCACACUACGUUCAGCAACAGUAUGGUGACCUCCUGUGAGCAGGGGACCACCAGGUUGCCUCAGCAGAGAAGAAAUAGCCCAGAUCGGUAAUGGAGAAGAUCAGCUCCCCUGCUGAUCAGGAGUGAGAUUGCUCCUGUGAAUAGCUACAGCGUUCCAGCCUGGGCAACAUAGCAAGACCCUGCCUCU
rnacentral:SRP_RNA from 1 species